rnacentral:rRNA from 1 species
UACGGGGGGAGCAAGCGUUGUUCGGAUUUACUGGGCGUAAAGGGCGCGUAGGCGGUCAGCACAAGUCAGUUGUGAAAUCUCCGGGCUUAACUCGGAAAGGUCAACUGAUACUGUGCGACUAGAGUGCGGAAGGGGCAACUGGAAUUCUCGGUGUAGCGGUGAAAUUCGUAGAUAUCAGGAGGAACACCAAUAGCGAAGGCAGCUCGCUGGGACGGUACUGACACUAAGGCGCGAAAGCGUGGGGAGCGAACAGG